CAGCAGCCGCGGUAAUACAGAGGGUGCGAGCGUUAAUCGGAUUUACUGGGCGUAAAGCGUGCGUAGGCGGCUUUUUAAGUCGGAUGUGAAAUCCCUGAGCUUAACUUAGGAAUUGCAUUCGAUACUGGGAAGCUAGAGUAUGGGAGAGGAUGGUAGAAUUCCAGGUGUAGCGGUGAAAUGCGUAGAGAUCUGGAGGAAUACCGAUGGCGAAGGCAGCCAUCUGGCCUAAUACUGACGCUGAGGUACGAAAGCAUGGGGAGCAAACAGGAUUAGAUACCCAGUAGUCCCUGUCUCUUAUACA
rnacentral:rRNA from 1 species